rnacentral:rRNA from 1 species
UACAGAGGGGGCAAGCGUUAUUCGGAAUUAUUGGGCGUAAAGGGCGCGUAGGCGGCCUGGUAAGUGGAAGGUGAAAUCCCUCGGCUUAACCGAGGAACUGCCCUCCAAACUGCUUGGCUAGAGUCCGGAAGAGGAGAGUGGAAUUCCCGGUGUAGCGGUGAAAUGCGCAGAUAUCGGGAAGAACACCCGUGGCGAAGGCGGCUCUCUGGGACGGUACUGACGCUGAGACGCGAAAGCGUGGGGAGCGAACAGG